GACGAACGCUGGCGGCGUGCUUAACACAUGCAAGUCGAGCGGAAAGGCCACUUCGGUGGUACUCGAGCGGCGAACGGGUGAGUAACACGUGAGUAAUCUGCCCCUGGCUUCGGGAUAGCCACCGGAAACGGUGAUUAAUACCGGAUAUGACCACGUCUCGCAUGGGGUGUGGUGGAAAGUUUUUCGGCCAGGGAUGUGCUCGCGGCCUAUCAGCUUGAUGGUGAGGUAAUGGCUCACCAUGGCUUCGACGGGUAGCCGGCCUGAGAGGGUGACCGGUCACACGGGGACUGAGACACGGCCCAGACUCCGACGGGAGGCGGCAGUGGGGAAUAUUGGACAAUGGGCGGAAGCCUGAUUCAGCAACGCCGCGUGAGGGAUGACGGCCUUCGGGUUGUAAACCUCUUUCAGUACCGACGAAGCGCAAGUGACGGUAGGUACAGAAGAAGCACCGGCCAAGUACGUGCCAGCCGCCGCAGUAAAAC
rnacentral:rRNA from 1 species